rnacentral:rRNA from 1 species
AAGUAAAAAGUCGUAACAAGGUCUCCGUUGGUGAACCAGCGGAGGGAUCAUUACUGAGUUUACGCUCUAUAACCCUUUGUGAACAUACCUAUAACUGUUGCUUCGGCGGGUAGGGUCUCCGCGACCCUCCCGGCCUCCCGCCUCCGGGCGGGUCGGCGCCCGCCGGAGGAUAACCAAACUCUGAUUUAACGACGUUUCUUCUGAGUGGUACAAGCAAAUAAUCAAAACUUUUAACAACGGAUCUCUUGGUUCUGGCAUCGAUGAAGAACGCAGCGAAAUGCGAUAAGUAAUGUGAAUUGCAGAAUUCAGUGAAUCAUCGAAUCUUUGAACGCACAUUGCGCCCGCCAGCAUUCUGGCGGGCAUGCCUGUUCGAGCGUCAUUUCAACCCUCAAGCUCUGCUUGGUGUUGGGGCCCUACAGCUGAUGUAGGCCCUCAAAGGUAGUGGCGGACCCUCCCGGAGCCUCCUUUGCGUAGUAACUUUACGUCUCGCACUGGGAUCCGGAGGGACUCUUGCCGUAAAACCCCCCAAUUUUCCAAAGGUUGACCUCGGAUCAGGUAGGAAUACCCGCUGAACUUAAGCAUAUCAAUAAGCGGAGGA